AGAGGCAUCUCUUUGAUAUUAAAGCUCCGGCGGUUAAAGAUGGGCGUGCGUCUGAUUAGGUAGUUGGCGGGGUAACGGCCCACCAAGCCUUCGAUCAGUAGCUGAUGUGAGAGCAUGAUCAGCCACACGGGCACUGAGACACGGGCCCGACUCCUACGGGAGGCAGCAGUAAGGAAUAUUGGUCAAUGGACGCAAGUCUGAACCAGCCAUGCCGCGUGGAGGAUGAAGGCCCUCUGGGUUGUAAACUUCUUUUCUUUGGGACGAAACCCCUGUUUCUACGGGGACUGACGGUACCAGAGGAAUAAGCACCGGCUAACUCCGUGCCAGCAGCCGCGGUAAUACGGAGGGUGCAAGCGUUAUCCGGAUUCACUGGGUUUAAAGGGAGCGUAGGUGGGCUUUUAAGUCAGUGGUGAAAUCUUUGGGCUUAACCCGAAAACUGCCAUUGAUACUAUUAGUCUUGAAUUCUCUGGAGGUAAGCGGAAUAUGUCAUGUAGCGGUGAAAUGCUUAGAUAUGACAUAGAACACCCAUUGCGAAGGCAGCUUACUACGGAGACAUUGACACUGAGGCUCGAAAGCGUGGGGAUCAAACAGGAUUAGAUACCCUGGUAGUCCACGCCCUAAACGAUGAUUACUCGACAUUAGCGAUAUUACUGUUAGUGUCUAAGCGAAAGCAUUAAGUAAUCCACCUGGGAAGUACGUCCGCAAGGA
rnacentral:rRNA from 1 species